GGGAGCCUUCCAUGAAACUGCACUGCUAACUUGGGCUAAAAACGAGGAGGAAGGGACCACAUGCCCUUUGGCUGAGCAGAAGCUGGAUGGAGGAAAGGAUCAGUGAACAGAAGACAGAGGCCAACUGUGUUUCCAAUUACAUCUCGGGAGGAUGCCAGAGACUCUAGAACAGUGUUCUCCACAAGAACCUUGAAAGGACUUUUGCAAGCUCUGAGGAAGCAUCCCUUAAUUUCACACUGCCCGUGUUUCUGCUUCUGU
rnacentral:lncRNA from 1 species